rnacentral:rRNA from 1 species
AUUUUGGACAAUGGGGGAAACCCUGAUCUAGCCAUCCGGCGUGUAUGAUGAAGGCCUUCGGCUUGUAUAGCACUUUUGGCAGAGAAGAAAAGGUAUCUCCUAAUACGAGAUACUGCUGACGGUAUCCGCAGAAUAAGCACCGGCUAACUACGUGCCAGCAGCCGCGGUAAUACGUAGAGUUACAGCUUUAAUCGGAAUUACUGGGCGAAAAGCGUAGGUAGUCGGUGCGGAAAGAAAGAUGUGAGAUCCCAGGGCUCAUCCUUGGAACUGCAGUUCUAACUGCCGAGCUAGAGUAUGUCAGAGGGAGGUAGAAUGCCACUGUUAUCAGUGAAAUGCGGAGAUAUGUUGAGGAUUACGGAUGGCGAAGGCAGCCCCCUGGGAUAAUACUGACGCUCAGACACGGAAGCGUGGGAAGCAAACA